rnacentral:rRNA from 1 species
UACGAAGGGGGCGAGCGUUGUUCGGAAUUACUGGGCGUAAAGGGCGCGUAGGCGGCCCCUUUUGUCGCGUGUGAAAGCCCCGGGCUCAACCCGGGAACGGCGCGCGAAACGGGGGGGCUUGAGUUCGGGAGAGGAGCGUGGAAUUCCCAGUGUAGAGGUGAAAUUCGUAGAUAUUGGGAAGAACACCGGUGGCGAAGGCGGCGCUCUGGACCGAGACUGACGCUGAGGCGCGAAAGCGUGGGGAGCAAACAGG